rnacentral:RNase_P_RNA from 1 species
CUGGAUGCGCAAGCAUCUGGAGGAAAGUCCGGGCCCCAUAGAGCAGGAUGCCGGCUAACGGCCGGGCGCAGCAAGUCGCAAGACCCAAGGCGACAGACAGUGCAACAGAAAGAUACCGCCGAAGCCUGGCUUUGACGCCGCAAGGCGGCGAAGCCCUCCUCCCGAAAGGGAGGGGAAAGGGCUGGUAAGGGUGAAAUGGUGGUGUAAGAGACCACCGCGUGGCUGGUAACAGUUCACGGCACGGCAAACCUCAUCCGGGGCAAGGCCAAAUAGGGGAGUAAUGACGUUGCUCGCGUCGCUCCCGGGUAGGCUGCUAGAGGCCGUCGGCAACGACGGUCCCAGAGGAAUGGCUGCCCACGACAGAACCCGGCUUAUCGGCGGACUUCCAUC